rnacentral:rRNA from 1 species
UACGUAGGGGGCUAGCGUUGUCCGCAUUUACUGGGCGUAAAGCGCGCGUAGGCGGGUUGGUAAGUCCGCUGUGAAAGCCCGGAGCUUAACUCCGGAGGGUCGGUGGAUACUGCCAGUCUUGAAGGUGCUAGGGGGAGAUGGAAUUACCGGUGUAGCGGUGAAAUGCGUAGAUAUCGGUAGGAACACCAGUGGCGAAGGCGGUCUCCUGGGGCAUUCUUGACGCUGAGGCGCGAAAGCUGGGGGAGCAAACGGG